UCCCUGGUGGCUCAGAGGUUAAAGCGUCUGCCUUCAAUGCAGGAGACCCAGGUUUGAGUCGUGGGUCGGGAA
rnacentral:tRNA from 1 species